CCUUUCUUAUUUGUUAAAAUGUGAAUGAGCACAGCCCAAGUGCCAUGGUACUGGUGACACAAGAAGCCAAGACAGCCUCUGGGUGGAUGGUGGUGCCCUGAUGAGCAUAAGACUGGAGGAGGAAGAGGCUGGGAGGAAUCACCAAGAAGUCUGUUUUGGCCAGGGCUGAGGUUGGGCGAGUUUGAGAUGCCUGUUGGAUGUUUGGGAAGGAUGCCAAGGAUACGAAGUGGAAGUCUGGAGCCUGGGAGAGAGGGUCAAGCCUGAGAAUUCAGUUUUGGGAGCCACAGAGAUAAACUUUGGCACCAAGUUCUUGGCGGACACAACAUCUUUGUUUGUAUGUGGU